rnacentral:lncRNA from 1 species
GUGUAACUCCAGCUCCAGUACUCGUGUCAUUUCCUGAUACAGCUUUGACCUCAACAGCAGGAGAAUGUGAUCUUUUAUCUUCCUGCGAACAUUCUAGGAGUGCUGAUCCAUUGCGUGAAGGUGUGAUACUUGGACUAGGCAUUUGAGGUCUCUCCUCGACGUGUUCACUAUCCGGGAGCAUUCCAGGUCUCUCCUCAACGUGUUCGCUAUCUGGGAGCAUUCGAGGUCUCUCCUCAAUGUGUGCACUAUCCGGGAGCCCAUUUCGCUGAUUAUUCAUUUCUUGAGCAUCAGAG